GAUGAACGCUGGCGGCGUGCUUAACACAUGCAAGUCGAACGGUGAAAGAGAGCUUGCUCUCUGGAUCAGUGGCGAACGGGUGAGUAACACGUGAGCAAUCUGCCCCUGACUCUGGGAUAAGCGCUGGAAACGGCGUCUAAUACCGGAUACGAGCUGCGAAGGCAUCUUCAGCAGCUGGAAAGAAUUUCGGUCAGGGAUGAGCUCGCGGCCUAUCAGCUUGUUGGUGAGGUAACUGCUCACCAAGGCGUCGACGGGUAGCCGGCCUGAGAGGGGGACCGGACACACUGGGACUGAGACACGGCCCAGACUCCUACGGGAGGCAGCAGUGGGGAAUAUUGCACAAUGGGCGCAAGCCUGAUGCAGCAACGCCGCGUGAGGGACGACGGCCUUCGGGUUGUAAACCUCUUUUAGCAGGGAAGAAGCGAAAGUGACGGUACCUGCAGAAAAAGCACCGGCUAACUACGUGCCAGCCGCCGCCGUAAUAC
rnacentral:rRNA from 1 species